rnacentral:rRNA from 1 species
UACGGGGGGAGCAAGCGUUGUUCGGAUUUACUGGGCGUAAAGGGCUCGUAGGCGGCCAACUAAGUCAGACGUGAAAUCCCUCGGCUUAACCGGGGAACUGCGUCUGAUACUGGAUGGCUUGAGUUCGGGAGAGGGAUGCGGAAUUCCAGGUGUAGCGGUGAAAUGCGUAGAUAUCUGGAGGAACACCGGUGGCGAAGGCGGCAUCCUGGACCAACACUGACGCUGAGGAGCGAAAGCCAGGGGAGCAAACGGG